GGAUCAUUAGCUCAGUUGGUUAGAGCGCUUGGUCGACAUCCAAGAGGUCGCUCGUUCGAAUCGAGUAUGAUCCACCA
rnacentral:tRNA from 1 species